rnacentral:rRNA from 1 species
GAUGAACGCUGGCGGCGUGCCUAAUACAUGCAAGUCGAGCGAACGGACGAGAAGCUUGCUUCUCUGAUGUUAGCGGCGGACGGGUGAGUAACACGUGGAUAACCUACCUAUAAGACUGGGAUAACUUCAGGAAACCGGAGCUAAUACCGGAUAAUAUUUUGAACCGCAUGGUUCAAAAGUGAAAGACGGUCUUGCUGUCACUUAUAGAUGGAUCCGCGCUGCAUUAGCUAGUUGGUAAGGUAACGGCUUACCAAGGCAACGAUGCAUAGCCGACCUGAGAGGGUGAUCGGCCACACUGGAACUGAGACACGGUCCAGACUCCUACGGGAGGCAGCAGUAGGGAAUCUUCUGCAAUGGGCGAAAGCCUGACGGAGCAACGCCGCGUGAGUGAUGAAGGUCUUCGGAUCGUAAAACUCUGUUAUUAGGGAAGAACAUAUGUGUAAGUAACUGUGCACAUCUUGACGGUACCUAAUCAGAAAGCCACGGCUAACUACGUG